rfam:Elusimicrobia bacterium GWA2_69_24 gwa2_scaffold_6710, whole genome shotgun sequence.
GCCCCUGUAGCUCAGUGGCAGAGCAGCAGUUUUGUAAACUGCCUACCUCGGUUCGAUUCCGGGCAGGGGCU